rnacentral:rRNA from 1 species
CACGUAGGGCGCAAGCGUUGUCCGGAAUUAUUGGGCGUAAAGAGCUCGUAGGCGGUCUGUUGCGUCCGCUGUGAAAACUCGGGGCUUAACCCCGAGCCUGCAGUGGAUACGGGCAGACUAGAGGUAGGUAGGGGAGAAUGGAAUUCCCGGUGUAGCGGUGAAAUGCGCAGAUAUCGGGAGGAACACCGGUGGCGAAGGCGGCGUUCUGGACUGCAACUGACACUGAAAAACGAAAGCCAGGGGAGCAAACGGG